CUCCCGACUUCUCCCGAGUACAUCGUCCACUGCGUCUGCGUCACCGUGUUCUUCUACAGCGACGAUUCAAGAGAACUGUUGCGAAAUACAACUUCCGAGCUGGAAACUGACGCCCAGAGAGGGCAGUGGACAUGUUGGGAAGUUUCAAGCGCGGUUAACUUGUAGAGGGACGGCUAGGAAUCGUUUGUUUACUCCAGUUUCGGCGUCGAUGCUACUUAGCUAGCUAACGCUCGCAAAUUCGAAGCGAACGUUUAAAUCCUCCCCGACGGGGUUAACGUCCGUCGAGUCUGACAGCUCCCUAUGGAGUCUGCUCCGCGGUGAGGUUUGGCAAGAGAAGGACCUUUGACUCACCCGUCUGAGCGCUUCCCGGUGGUCCUUUGGCGCUCUCUUUAUCAGCUAUAUCUCCUCGGAAGGAUUUCCAAGCAGAGCCACAUCACCAAACUCUCCCGGAAACAAAACCUGCUCGCCGCUGAUUGGACGACACGGGGAAAAAUAAUGCAGUAAUGGUAAGACACGAUCAGGCAGUUAAGCUGAUCGUCAGCCGUGGCAGGCAGCUGGGUCGAAGCCUGGCGUUGCUGGCCCACUACGUGACGCUCUUUGCGGCCUUUGUGGGCCGCUUCGUGCAGUGGAUGGCGGACGCCGGGUGUUGGACCACGCACCUCACGCGCUGCACGCUAGCCGCCUUUGAUGGCGUCUACACGCACCUGCGACGCGUCUUGAGGUGGAAGACCAGUGUGGACUGACCGCCGCACAUCUCGUUUGACUCUGCAAACCUCACGCGAGGCCUUACGCUAGGGCUUUAUGUUACAUUUGUACAUGUUGUUGAAUAGUUUUUAUCUGAAAGCCAAUGCCUUUGACAGGCAGGCAUAAUAUGUCUGACAUGAUGUAACGAUACCACUACAAAAACAUAUAGUUUUAGGAAAUAGUCAAUGUUUAGCC